rnacentral:rRNA from 1 species
AACUAACGCUGGCGGCAUGCCUAACACAUGCAAGUCGAACGAGACCUUCGGGUCUAGUGGCGCACGGGUGCGUAACGCGUGGGAACCUGCCCUUAGGUUCGGAAUAACUCCCCGAAAGGGGUGCUAAUACCGGAUAAUGUCUUCGGACCAAAGAUUUAUCGCCUUUGGAUGGGCCCGCGUUGGAUUAGCUAGUUGGUAGGGUAAAAGCCUACCAAGGCGACGAUCCAUAGCUGGUCUGAGAGGAUGAUCAGCCACACUGGGACUGAGACACGGCCCAGACUCCUACGGGAGGCAGCAGUGGGGAAUAUUGGACAAUGGGCGAAAGCCUGAUCCAGCAAUGCCGCGUGAGUGAUGAAGGCCUUAGGGUUGUAAAGCUCUUUUACCCGGGAUGAUAAUGACAGUACCGGGAGAAUAAGCUCCGGCUAACUCCGU